CGAUGGAGGUCUAUAGAAUGGUGGCACUUCGAUUACUUGAACUUGUUGCUUACAACACAAAAAAGUUUGAUGCUUUACUACUGGAACUGUUUUACGACCUUGACUGACUAUACAGCCCUCACACGGUCGGUAUAUGAUUUAGUGAAUCUGGACUACUUAUAUUAAACUUGUUUAGACAUUGAAUAAAUUCGUAAGAAUUCUAGAUUGCAUUGAAUUGAUGGCGUCACAGAUGAGUCUUUUCUAGAUAAAAUGCGUGUCUGGAAUACACAAUUAUCAGCCUGUUAUACACAUCUUUGAGGAUUUUCUUUAGAACUAACGAUUUUGCCAGCAGCUGUAUAUUAAUUUUCUGGUGACUGUGCAACCGUCUGAACUUACUACUUUGGUAGACGAUACAAUAAUAAAUGGUUUAUGUUACAGAAGAAAAAUAAAAGAUUUUGGAAAAGCAAUUAUAAAGAUGAUUACGCUCGUUUUUUGUUUAGUUUUGUUUGUAUUUGAUGUUAAGGGUACGACCAGUAACAUGGUACCCGCGCAAAUGAAGCAUCUAGGACCCCAAGAAGCCUAUUGGAACCUUUUGAAUGCGAUGUAUCAUAAUCCUUACCAUGAUUUUUCUUGGCUUUUAAUGUCUAUUAUGUCUACGGAUGGAGAGGCUAUGGGCAUGGACAUUUAGCUUACAUAUAAUGUUUCUUUUAUGUCUCUUUUUUAUUUACAAUUCAUUUUUCUUCAUUCCAUUCAUUUAUUUUUAUAACAUAUUUUUUUUACCGAUAAUUAUACAAGUUUUAAAGUUAACAAAUAUUUAGCAAUUUUCAUCUCACGCUAAUUUUACAUAUUGUGUAAAUGUAUUGCACAUAAUCAGUUAAAUUAUUGAAGAAAACAAAUCGGAGGCACAAUAUGACAAAAGGGGAAUUAUAAUGACAAACAAAAGAAAGAAAUGGAAUAAAAAAAACUUGCUAAUAACAGAGUUUCAUCAUAACUUUACAUUACAGUACUGGGUAAUUGUACCUAAUAUAUAUGUUAAUGUACCAGCAGGUUUUCAA